rnacentral:ncRNA from 12 species
AUCAUUUGAGAAGCAAGAAAGGCAUCCUGCGCUCCUUCGGGAACCUGAUAUGAUGGAUACGCCGCCCAUCCAAGUGUU